rnacentral:rRNA from 1 species
GACGAACCGUCCAAACGUUAUUCGGAUUUACUGGGCUUAAAGGGUGCGUAGGCGGCGCGGAAAGUUGGGUGUGAAAUCCCUCGGCUCAACCGAGGAACUGCGCCCAAAACUACCGUGCUGGAGGGAGAUAGAGGUGAGCGGAACUUAGGGUGGAGCGGUGAAAUGCGUUGAUAUCCUAAGGAACACCGGUGGCGAAAGCGGCUCACUGGAUCUCUUCUGACGCUGAGGCACGAAAGCUAGGGGAGCGAACGGG